rnacentral:rRNA from 1 species
GAGGGGUGCAAACGUUGUUCGGAAUUACUGGGUGUAAAGGGUGUGUAGACGGUUCGUCAAGCUCGUUGUUAAAUUCUCCGGCCUAACCGGAGAUCUGCGAUGAGAACUGGCGUGCUAGAGGAUGGAAGAGAGAAGUGGAAUUCCCGGGGUAGCGGUAAAAUGCGUAGAUCUCGGGAGGAACACCGAUGGCGAAGGCAGCUUCUUGGUCCAUUCCUGACGUUGAGACACGAAAGCGUGGGGAGCAAACAGGAUUAGAUACCCUGGUAGUCCACGCUGUAAACGAUGAUCACUGGACGUUGGUCCCGGCUUUGCUGGAUUGGUGUCGUAGCUAACGCGUUAAGUGAUCCACCUGGGGGAGUACGGUCGCAAGAUUA